CCUACGGGAUGCAGCAGUGAGGAAUAUUGGUCAAUGGACGGAAGUCUGAACCAGCCAUGCCGCGUGCAGGAAGACGGCUCUAUGAGUUGUAAACUGCUUUUGUACAGGAGUACACCUUAAUACGUGUAUGCAUCUUAAAGUACUGUACGAAUACGGAUCGGCUCACUCCGGGCCAUCAGCCGCGGUCAUCCGGAGGAUCCAAGGGUUCUCCCGCUUUUUGGGGUUUAACGGGUGCGGAGGCCGAUUGAUAAGGUAGCGGUGAAAUGUCCGAGCUUAACUCGGGAACUGCAGCUAAUACUGUUGAUCUAGAGAGUAGAUGCGGUAGGCGGAAUGUAUGGUGUAGCGGUGAAAUGCUUAGAGAUCAUAAAGAACACCGAUUGCGAAGGCAGCUAACCAAGGUAUAUCUGACGUUGAGGCACGAAAGCGUGGGGAGCAAACAGGAUUAGAUACCCUUGUAGUC
rnacentral:rRNA from 1 species